rnacentral:rRNA from 1 species
AAUCAGUGGUUUUAUCCAAUCAGAUGGUUGUUUUACUGUGGUGUUUGAUAAAAGAAAAACUGGUUUAUUAAUCAGACCUAAACCUAUAUUUGUUUUAACUCAGGAUCUUUCUGAAGAAAAAUUAUUCAGAGAAUUACAUAAAUAUUUAGGAGUCGGUUUUAUUACAAAAAAUAAAAUAAAUGUAUCUUUAUAUAUAACAUCUUUAUUUGCAAUAGAAAACACAUUAUUUCCUAUUUUAGAUAAACAUAUGUUAAGAUAUGGAAAAUUAACUCAAUAUUUAAUGUUUAAGACUGUAGUUCAAAAAAUGUUAAAUAAAGAACAUUUAAAAUUAAAAGGUUUACUUGAAAUAAUAGAUAUUGGUUUUCAAAUGAAUAUUGAAACAACUAGACGAAAAAAAGAUUCAAAAAAAGUUUUAUUAGAGUUUUUAAAAAAUAAACAUGGGGAAAUAAUUUCACCUUGUAAUUUCAAAGUUCCAAGUUUACCUAAACCACAAAACCUUUCUUUAGAUUUUAUAGCAGGUUUAAUAGAUGGUGAUGGAAGCUUUAAUGUAUCUUUUCAGCUCAAACCUUAUAGAAAAAUUAAAGUUAACUUCACAGUUGUUCAAGAGACUUCUAGUAAAGAAAUAUUGAAUGAAUUAAAAAAUUAUUUUGAUUGCGGUAAUGUGUAUGAUUUACGUUCUGCAGCAAGUCGCUAUCAAGUGGAAAAUGUUGAUUUGAUUUUUAAUAAGAUAAAACCUAUAUUAGAUAAAGUAACAUUUAAUACACAAAAAGCUGAAUAUUAUAAAAUCGCAAUAAAGGUCUGUGAAAUAAUAAAAACUAAAGGAUAUAAAUUAAAUAAAAAUUACCUAGAAAUAGUAGAAUUAGCAUAUGAUUCUAAUAAAUUAGGUAAAAGACGUUUAAUUUCAAAACAAGAAAUUAUUAAAAAAAUUCUUGAACAAUAAAGUAUAAAAUAAUUUACCUAAGAUAAAAGUAAAGUUAAAAGUAUAGUCUAAAUUAUAGCGAAAGCUGUAAAUAAAAUGGAAAGAUAAAACUGACUAGGGAUAGCUGGUUUUCCGCGAAACCUAUCGAAGUAGGUUAUUAUAACUAACAUCAUGCAGGUACAGAACUUGAUCUUACUAGGCUAGUCGAAGAGAUAUUUUUCAACUAUAUCGGGGGAUCGUGAAGAUUUUAUCGUUAAGUAAUAGGUCUCGGAAUAGCAGAGAUGAAUGUAUAAUUAUCAGACAUAGUAUGCUAAGGUUGUAUGUCGAGAGGGAAACAGCCCAGAACAAGUGUAAAUAUAAGGUUCCAAAAUUAUUGUUAACAUGAAGUGAAAUAAAGAGAGUUUUUAUCUUAUUCGAUCAGGUGAUGGGCUUAGUGGCGGCCAUUUUUUAAAGACCUCGUAAUAGAGUACUGAUUCAAACAUCGGAAGACUUUCGGUGGGGAUAGAGACAUCUAAAAUUUAACGGAUCAAAACAAUAUACCGACACCUUGUCUAUAAUUAUAGUUGGAAUCCAUAUUAAGAGAUGGAAUGUCUAAUUUAAUUAUGGGGUAGCGGAACGUUGGGUAAUAUUAUUAAAUUAUUCUUUUUAAGAAUAAAAACACAUUAACCCAAGUGAGAAUGCUGACAUGAGUAACGAAAAAGGGAAAAAAAUUUUUUUUUCCUCGCCUUAAGCUUAUGGAAUUAUAUAAGUAACGGCCUCUAAGUUAAUGGACCUAAUGGUCUAAAUGAUGAGAAAAAUCUAAUUGUUUAUUGCGACAACCUUAUAUGAGUGUAUAAGUGUUCUGGAAAAGCAAUACAACUAAGUAAAGAAAAGUGCCAUAAAUUAUUUAUGGUAUUACUUUACAAAGAUAUACCGUACCUAAGAACCAAGAGGUAAGCUAGUAGAGAAUACGAAGGCGCUUGAGUGAACAAUCAUUAAGGAACUCGGCAAACUAACUACCGUAACUUAGGGAGAAGGAGUGCCGAUCCUACCGUUUAAUAUCGGUUUGGAUAAGGAAGCAUAGAAUCGUGUUGUCCGACUGUUUAAUUAAAACAAAGCACGCUGCAUUAAGAUGAAAGUCUAAGUAUAGAGUGUGAUGUCUGCCCGAUGCCGGCUGGUUAACGGAGUUUCUGGGCUGCAUUUAUUAUAAGUGUUGGUCUGGUUUUGAAGGAUACCCCGGUUAAUGGCGGCCUUAACUAUAAGGGUCCAAAGGUAGCAAAAUACCUUGGCUACUAAAUAUAGUCUCGCAUGAAUGAUGUAACGAUACAACAGCUGUCUCGAUGAUUGGCUCAGUGAAAUUGGAAUAGCAGUAAAUUAUUUGCUGCGUUGGUGUAAAUCCAACUCAUAGUUAUUACUAAACUUAUAUAUUUAAUUCGUAUAAAUAAAAAUUUUUUGGGUUUUCUGUUGGCGGUAAUGUUAAUCAGAAACUAUCCACACAACCAAAUAGGCCAGUAAAGACGUGAAAGGUCAAUAACAAAUAUUAUUUUAGGGAGUGUUUCGCAAUUUUUAAGGCGCAACAACCUUUUGCUUUUUUGGACCACGAGAAGGUGGUGUCCAUUUUUAAUUAUACAUCAAUUAGACGCUUUAACCGAUGAAUAAAACAAGUGGCGUAAUCGGGUUCGAAACCAGAAAAUUCUCCAGAGGGUUGACACCCCAGCUGGAAAAUUCGAGCUUGGUUAUUCAAGGGAUCGGCGCUAAGGUAUAUUAGCUUUAGCUAUGUAAAUAUAAAUUUUGAAUAAAAACCAAUCGAAAAGAAUAAUUAUUAUGGAACAAACAGAAUGCCAUCAUAUUGUGUGCAUCUAAGAGCGGUGAUGGGGUUAAAGAUAAGUCUUUAACUGGGAAAUUCGGCUUU